UGCAUGUCUAAGUAUAAGCAAUUAUACCGUGAAACUGCGAAUGGCUCAUUAAAUCAGUUAUCGUUUAUUUGAUAGUACCUUACUACUUGGAUAACCGUGGUAAUUCUAGAGCUAAUACAUGCUGAAAACCCUGACUUCGGAAAGGGUGUAUUUAUUAGAUAAAAAACCAAUGCCCUUUGGGCUCUUGGUGAUUCAUGAUAACUUAACGGAUCGCAUGGCCUUGCGCCGGCGACGGUUCAUUCAAAUUUCUGCCCUAUCAACUUUCGAUGGUAAGGUAUUGGCUUACCAUGGUUUCAACGGGUAACGGGGAAUUAGGGUUCGAUUCCGGAGAGGGAGCCUGAAAAACGGCUACCACAUCCAAGGAAGGCAACAGGCGCGCAAAUUACCCAACCCCAACACGGGGAGGUAGGGACAAUAAAUACUGUUCCAGGGUUCUUUAGGGUCUUGUAAUCGGAAUGAGGGCAAUUUCAACCUCUUAACGAAAAACAUUUGGAGGGAGUUUGUGGUGUCCAAACCCUCUAAUUCUCCCUCCCCUAUAGAGUAUUUUAGA
rnacentral:rRNA from 2 species